rnacentral:rRNA from 1 species
UACAGAGGGGGCAAGCGUUGUUCGGAAUUACUGGGCGUAAAGGGCGCGUAGGCGGCCUGUUAAGUCGAACGUGAAAUCCCCGGGCUCAACCCGGGAACUGCGUCCGAUACUGGCAGGCUUGAAUCCGGGAGAGGGAUGCGGAAUUCCAGGUGUAGCGGUGAAAUGCGUAGAUAUCGGGAGGAAGGCCGGUGGCGAAGGCGGCGCUCUGGAACAUUCCUGACGCUGAGGCUCGAAAGCGUGGGGAGCAAACAGG